rnacentral:rRNA from 1 species
UACAGAGGUCUCAAGCGUUGUUCGGAUUCAUUGGGCGUAAAGGGUGUCGUAGGCGCGCGGUAAGUCGGGUGUGAAAUCUCGGGCUUAACUCCGAAACUGCAUUCGAUACUGCCGUGCUUGAGGACUGGAGAGGAGACUGGAAAUUUACGGUGUAGCGGUGAAAUGCGUAGAUAUCGUAAGGAAGACCAGUGGCGAAGGCGGGUCUCUGGACAGUU